rnacentral:misc_RNA from 1 species
GAUGAAGAACGCAGCGAAAUGCGAUAAGUAAUGUGAAUUGCAGAAUUCAGUGAAUCAUCGAAUCUUUGAACGCACAUUGCGCCCCUUGGUAUUCCGAGGGGCAUGCCUGUUCGAGCGUCAUUAUAACCCCUCAAGCUCAGCUUGGUGUUGGGGCCUGCCGCACGGGCAGCCCUUAAAAUCAGUGGCGGUGCUAUCUGGCUCUAAGCGUAGUAAUUCUUCUCGCUAUAGAGUCCCGGUGGAUGCUUGCCAUUAACCCCCAAUUUUCUAUGGUUGACCUCGGAUCAGGUAGGGAUACCCGCUGAACUUAAGCAUAUAAUAAGCGGAGGA